ACGAACGCUGGCGGCGUGCUUCACACAUGCAAGUCGAACGGUGAAGCGCCUUCCUUUUUGGUGGGUGUGGAUGAGUGGCGAACGGAUGAGUAACACGUGAGUAACCUGCCCCCUUCUUCUGGAUAACCGCAUGAAAGUGUGGCUAAUACGGGAUAUUCUGGGUCUGUCGCAUGAUGGGUCUGGGAAAGAUAUUGUUUCGGUGGGGGAUGGGCUCGCGGCCUAUCAGCUUGUUGGUGGGGUGAUGGCCUACCAAGGCGGUGACGGGUAGCCGGCCUGGGAGGGUGGACGGUCACACUGGGACUGAGACACGGCCCAGACUCCUACGGGAGGCAGCAGUGGGGAAUAUUGCACAAUGGGCGCAAGCCUGAUGCAGCGACGCCGCGUGAGGGAUGGAGGCCUUCGGGUUGUGAACCUCUUUCGCCAGUGAAGCAGGCCUGCCUCGUUUGUGGGUGGGUUGACGGUAGCUGGAUAAGAAGCGCCGGCUAACUACGUG
rnacentral:rRNA from 1 species